AUUGAACGCUGGCGGAAUGCUUUACACAUGCAAGUCGAACGGCAGCACGGGGCAACCUGGUGGCGAGUAGCGAACGGGUGAGUAAUACAUCGGAACGUGCCCAGUCGUGGGGGAUAACGUAGCGAAAGCUACGCUAAUACCGCAUACGAUCUACGGAUGAAAGCGGGGGACUCGCAAGAGCCUCGCGCGAUUGGAGCGGCCGAUGGCAGAUUAGGUAGUUGGUGGGGUAAAGGCUCACCAAGCCUGCGAUCUGUAGCUGGUCUGAGAGGACGACCAGCCACACUGGAACUGAGACACGGUCCAGACUCCUACGGGAGGCAGCAGUGGGGAAUUUUGGACAAUGGGCGCAAGCCUGAUCCAGCCAUUCCGCGUGCAGGAUGAAGGCC
rnacentral:rRNA from 1 species